UACGAAGGGUGCAAGCGUUAAUCGGAAUUACUGGGCGUAAAGCGCGCGUAGGUGGUUCAGUAAGUUGGAAGUGAAAUCCCCGGGCUCAACCUGGGAACUGCUUUCAAAACUGCUGAGCUAGAGUACGGUAGAGGGUGGUGGAAUUUCCUGUGUAGCGGUGAAAUGCGUAGAUAUAGGAAGGAACAGCAGUGGCGAAGGCGACCACCUGGACUGAUACUGACACUGAGGUGCGAAAGCGUGGGGAGCAAACAGG
rnacentral:rRNA from 1 species